AGAAAGUGGCGGCGUGCUAAUACAUGCAAGUCGAGCGGACCUCUUCGGAGGUCAGCGGCGGACGGGUGAGUAACACGUGGGCAACCUGCCUGUAAGACUGGGAUAACUCCGGGAAACCGGAGCUAAUACCGGAUAUUAUUUCAAACCGCAUGGUUUGAAAUUCAAAGACGGUUUCGGCUGUCACUUACAGAUGGGCCCGCGGCGCAUUAGCUAGUUGGUGAGGUAAUGGCUCACCAAGGCAACGAUGCGUAGCCGACCUGAGAGGGUGAUCGGCCACACUGGGACUGAGACACGGCCCAGACUCCUACGGGAGGCAGCAGUAGGGAAUCUUCCGCAAUGGACGAAAGUCUGACGGAGCAACGCCGCGUGAGUGAUGAAGGUUUUCGGAUCGUAAAACUCUGUUGUCAGGGAAGAACAAGUGCCGGAGUAACUGCCGGCGCCUUGACGGUACCUGACCAGAAAGCCACGGCUAACUACGUGCCAGCAGCCGCGGUAAUGCGUAGGUGGCAAGCGUUGUCCGGAAUUAUUGGGCGUAAAGCGCGCGCAGGCGGUUUCUUAAGGUCUGAUGUGAAAGCCCCCGGCUCAACCGGGGAGGGUCAUUGGAAAACUGGGAAACUUGAGUGCAGAAGAGGAGAGUGAAUUCCACGGUGUAGCGGUGAAAUGCGUAGAGAUGUGAGGGAACACCAGUGGCGAAAGGCGACUCUCUGGUCUGUAACUGACGCUGAGGCGCGAAAGCGUGGGGAGCGAACAGAUUAGAUACCCUGCUAGUCCACGCCGGUAAACGAUGAUGCUAGUGUUAAAGGUUCCGCCCGUUAUGCUGCAGCUACGCAGUAGCACUCCGCCUGGGGUAGUACGUCGCAGGACUGAAAGCUCAAGGACUUGACGGGCCCGCACAAGCCGUGCAGCAUGUGCUUAUCCGAGCCACGCGAGAUCGUUAACGAGUCCUGGACAUCGUGCCACUCAAAAUAAAUCGUCCUGGAUCAUGGACAGUAAACGGUGAGUCCAUGGUGUCAC
rnacentral:rRNA from 1 species